AAGGAGGUGGCAGAAGUUCCUGAGAAACCCAGCUGUUGGUGUCUUUCCACCAUCAGUUUCAGGCAGGUACUGAGCCUGAGGAUGACUCCAGCACUCUUGGUCAAAACACCUCAGUAAAAGGGAAAUGGAUCAGAAACAAGAUGUUGGCAUUCUGCCACAAGAUCCUCCCACCCCGCUAACACCUGAAGGAAAACAGAAAGGAGGAAGAAACACUCACCAUGGUAGGUGAAAUGGCCCAGAAAUGCAAACACUGCUUCGCAUCUCACCUCUAUGGAAUUUCACACUAUGUUGAGUGAAGGUGUCUAACGGUUUGUAUAUACAUAUAUACACAAACACCAGAGGAGGCCUGUGGGGUGAGUAAGGUGACCAUCAGGAGAGAAGAGGAAGAAGAGAGGAGGAAAAUGGAGAGGUGACUGUCAGGGACGUACAAUGUCAUCGUGUGUGAAUCUGCACACUAUUUUGUAUGUUGGCUAAAAACAAUUUAGACACAAGCAAACAUGGAUAUCCCAGCUCCUCCAUGUCUGUCAACAGCAAGAGCAGUGUCUCAGAUGCCAGAAGGAUCACCUCGUUAUCUUAGAAAGCAUCUGUCAGAGGAGACAACAGAGCUAUCACAAAGGUUCUUGAG